CGGGGAAUUACCUGCGCAUGCGCUGCCGGCUUGACAGUCCUGUGCCGAGUGCUGGUGCUGGGGAUCGUUACAGGGAGCAAAGGGAGCACAUGCUGGUCCUUCACUAGAUCAAGACUUUGGGGCUGGAUUGUACAGUACAAACGGUCUGGUUGUAUGAGCACUAAGCUUGAGGGAAAACAGCGUGUUGCACAUCCUUCUGCUCCAGUGUAUCCUGAGCUAUUUCUCACAGAGCAAGAGAUGGAGGACUUGUAUCAGACCUUGAAUCCUGGUAGUAAAGAAUGCUGCCUGCGGUCUUUGCUUCCCUAAAAACAUUCGGAGUUAAAUGAUACUUUCUCCCACUAUAUUAAUAGAUAUUAUUGAAUUUUCAGAACAUUAGCUUUUGAGUAAAAGCAAGUUGAAAAUGAAAACCAUAGUCCUGCAGACAGAUGGAAGAUUAAUUUUACCACCAUAAGGAAUUCACUGAAAGUAGAUAGUGGGACUAAUCAUGAUAGUUAAUUUAAGUAAGCUUAAGCUCAAGGGCAAUUAGAUCAAAUGUUUAAAAAAUAAGUUCAUUUAUAAGCAUUUUAAUUUUGAACUACAUUAAGAAAGGUAGUUGGAUAAAAAGUGCCUUUGGAUAUAGCCUUUCCCCAAGAACUGAAUGGACUGCCUAAGCAUUGCUGGGGUUUUGGUUGUAACCGUGUUGGUCUAAUGACACAGGCAGGCAAGGUUCUUUGGGUAAAUGGUUAAGCAUUUUCAUUCAAUAACUUGUUGUUUUCCCAUAUCAUAAUUUGUUUUGAUAAUUAUUUUGAAGUUUAUUUUAAACAAGAAAAAAUAGAGAGCGUGUGCUGUGUUUAUAAGAUGUUUCUGGCAGAGUGACAACAUGCUGUCAUAUUGCAAAACAUUAAUGAGGUGAGAAUAUCCACACUUACAAAAUGUUUAUAUUUAAACAAUAAAAAGCCCUAUUAAUUCCUAUGCA
rnacentral:lncRNA from 1 species